rnacentral:rRNA from 1 species
UAGGGAAUCUUCGGCAAUGGGGGGCAACCCUGACCGAGCAACGCCGCGUGAGUGAAGAAGUAUUUCGGUAUGUAAAGCUCUAUCAGCAGGGAAGAUAAUGACGGUGCCUGACUAAGAAGCCCCGGCUAACUACGUGCCAGCAGCCGCGGUAAUACGUAGGGGGCAAGCGUUAUCCGGAUUUACUGGGUGUAAAGGGAGCGUAGGUGGCAAGGCAAGUCAGAUGUGAAAGCCCGGGGCUCAACCCCGGUACUGCAUUUGAAACUGUCUAGCUAGAGUGCAGGAGAGGUAAGUGGAAUUCCUAGUGUAGCGGUGAAAUGCGUAGAUAUUAGGAGGAACACCAGUGGCGAAGGCGGCUUACUGGACUGUAACUGACACUGAGGCUCGAAAGCGUGGGGAGCAAACAGGAUUAGAUACCCUGGUAGU